GCCUAGGAAUCUGCCUGGUAGUGGGGGACAACGUCUCGAAAGGGACGCUAAUACCGCAUACGUCCUACGGGAGAAAGCAGGGGACCUUCGGGCCUUGCGCUAUCAGAUGAGCCUAGGUCGGAUUAGCUAGUUGGUGAGGUAAUGGCUCACCAAGGCGACGAUCCGUAACUGGUCUGAGAGGAUGAUCAGUCACACUGGAACUGAGACACGGUCCAGACUCCUACGGGAGGCAGCAGUGGGGAAUAUUGGACAAUGGGCGAAAGCCUGAUCCAGCCAUGCCGCGUGUGUGAAGAAGGUCUUCGGAUUGUAAAGCACUUUAAGUUGGGAGGAAGGGUUGUAGAUUAAUACUUUGCAAUUUUGACGUUACCGACAGAAUAAGCACCGGCUAACUCUGUGCCAGCAGCCGCGGUAAUACAGAGGGUGCAAGCGUUAAUCGGAAUUACUGGGCGUAAAGCGCGCGUAGGUGGUUUG
rnacentral:rRNA from 1 species